GAGCACUGAACCAAUGCAAUGCAACGCCACGUACGUGACUUGGCUCAAGUUGAGAACACUUUGUGAUGGAGGCAUGGAGCCAACCAGAUCACCACUAGUUUUGCUCGUGGCGCAAGCCGUACUCGCUGCGGCGAUGUUGCAACAACCAUCAGAAGGGAGGGUGCAGGCAGUGGCGCCAUCAGCGCCACAUCUCGCCGGAGGCAAAGAAGCUGAAGCAGCAGCCGCUACAUCCUUGCCGGCUUCACCAUUCACCGGGGACCCGCCACCAUCGGAAGAGAGGGCACAGGCGCUCAAGGCGCCAUCAGUGCCACACCUCGCCGAAGCCGAACCGGUAGCGGCUACCUCCUCGCCGGCUUCACCGUACACCGGCGUCUCGGUCUUCAUCCCGGCACCGCCGCCUCUACCUGGCGUGCCCGCGUUACCGCCGUUGCCCGGCUUCCCGGGCAUGGCAGGCGCGCCUUCGCCUUCGCCUUCGCAGCAGCUGGCCAGUUGCUUGGGACCGCUCGGGCGUGUGAUAACUUGCGCUCCGUACCUCACCGACUCCGUACCCGCGCCGCCGAGUACAUGCUGCGACGGCUUCAGGUCGCUCGUCGGCAGCAGCGCCCGGAUCUGCUUGUGCCAUGCCAUCAUCGGCAACCUGAGUACAUUGGCCAGGGGGGAGAUCGACCAGCUUCGCUUGCUCGUGCUGCCUCUGACGUGUAGCACGAUCGUGCCCCCGGACUUGCUUCUCAUGUGCAUCCUGUCUCCGGUGCCGCCGAUUAUGCCUCAGCACUACGGCGCCGAUGUCAGAGAAAGGCUCGGUGCUCUGGGCGGCUAGGCCAUUGGCGUGCUCAGAAGGAGUGUCUAUUUAGAAGUCGACUGAAAUUGAAUUAGGCUUCAGUCGAGUUCAUGUUGGCCUGUAUGUACGCUGGACUGGACCCGCUACCAAAACAGCAGAACAAAAACUGAGUCCUGAGAACAACUGAACUAAUGGGGCUAAAAAAAAAGACUAUGGACAUGCGCUAGUACCAUGCUGAAUAUUAUUGCCAGCAAAAAGAAGAGGCAAACGGACCAAAAAGACACCCAA